rnacentral:lncRNA from 1 species
CUCACGUGGGUUCGUGACACGCUCGGACUAGCUCGCGUGGGCACCCUCUUAGAUCACGUCGGAAUGCCCCCUGGCCUAUGGCCUGUUGGAAUCUCCUCCCUUGUCCUAUUUUCUCCUUUCCUGCAAACACACACACACAUCAAAGAUACAGAGGUGUGGGUCAUAGGACCCCACCUUCUUACAGGGUGAGUACACACAUGCGUGUGUGUACUCAAGAAAGAAAUAGAAAAGAACAUAGGAGAAUCCGUGCCAAUUCGACAGCCUCACGGCGUGUUCUUGGCAAGGGACUCUCGGUACAUAUUUUACAAGACAGAAAUAAAAAAGGGGAAGAUAGAGAGCAAGGAAGUGUUUGUCUUUGAAAGAAGACGAAGAGAAAUAAGAGAGAAGGCUAAGGUCAGCUUAACUCUCGCUAAACCUUCCAAAGAGACGAAAAAGAAUGAGACAAGAGAAGAGAAGAAAAGCGAUAAGAGAAGCAAAAGAAGUUUGACCAUACGGUGAGGCUGGCACAGUGGCAAGAUUGGCGUGGCGACUGAUUCAGCGUGGUAGCUAGACGGGCACAGUGACAUGUACCUGCACGACGAUUAAUCUACUCAACAAUAAAACCAACACACCGGCCAGUCUGGCACAACAUCCAGUCUGACAUGGCAGCUAAACAGGCACGAUGACUCAGACCGACAUGGCGGAUAAACUGCUCGAUGACAAGAUGAGCACUAGCACAAGGCUCAGCCUGCCCUCUGGUCAAAUGAUCGAAGGAAAGAAAGUGGGGAGGUGAAGACUAGGUAUACUCUCGCUAGGUCUUCCAAAAGAGAUGAAAGUGAAAUAAGAGUGAUGGAAAAUGAGAUGAAACUAAGGUAGAUGAAUUAAAACAAAAUAAAACUAGAAAAUGGAUUAGAAUUAAAUAAAUUAAAAUAGAAUGAAGUGAAGUAAAAUAAAUAUAAUGAAGUGGAGUAAAAUAAAAUAAAAGGAUGGAAGAGAAUAAAAUGAGAUGAGACAAUUAAAAUAAAAUAAAUAAUGAAAUAGAAAAAGGUAUGGUGGGAUAAACAAGUGAGAUAAAGUAAAUAGAAUAAAAUAGAACAAAAGCGAUAAGAUGAAGUGAAUGAAAUAAAUGAAAGGUUUCGGGUUAUCUCCGACCCCGAACCCCGCACAUGAUGAACAGUCAGAUUUUGCGCACAAAGCCGGCGAAGUGACUACAAAUUCCAUCGUCGGAAUUUCAGAUUUCGGCCAAAAUUCCAAAGUUGCAAAACCUUUGUCCGGACACGGAAUCGAGCUGCAUUUAUUGCCCCCGCGAACGUGACGGCAUGAUCAGUAUACUUCAAUGAAGAAAUCACUGAAAAACAUCAAGGAAUGAGCACACAAUCGAUUUCAAGUUUCAAGAUUCAUUAAAAUUUCAAGUCACAUGAUCGUGACCUAAAAACACAAUCCAUGGCUCAAAGUUGGUAUCAAAUCGAUCGUCAUGCUAAGCCCUACAAGAAAACAAUCAUCUUUCAAUCAAUCGGGCAUCAAAACGACACCGGAUCAUCCAUGCAAGAUCAUGCAAGUUUUAGGGCAACACAGGGAUUGUUUAGAAAUUUGACAAAUUGUUAUGAAGGGGCAAAUCUGUCAUUUCGUACCUUAUUUUCUAAUUUCUUUUAAUUCAAUUUAAUCUUAAUUUCCCGUAAUUAGAGUUACUUUUGAUCAUCCACCCAUGUUUGGGGCAAAUUCUAUGUAUACAUCAUGCCAUCAAUGUACGGAAAGGACUCAAUCCCUCAUAAAAGAGAGAGUUUUUACUUAUUAUAGUUUCUAUUUCUUACCAUUUUUGGGUCACAUUUGGAGAGAGAGAGCAAGGUGAGAGAAACUUUUGAUCCGUACCCUAGGCUUGAGGUAGAUCUUCUCUCUCUUCCUUUUCUUUUCUUCUCUCUCUGUUUCUUCUUUCUCUUCUUCUCUUUCUUCUUACUCUUCCCCGUCUAAGUCCUUCUCAGAGGCCAUGCACGACAAUGGCAGUGUCGUGCAUGCCUCUCUGGUGGUCUCACAGGUCGCGCAUGGCAAUGGUAGUGCCAUGCGCGAGCUUCUCUCUUCUUCUGUUCUCUAUCCCAGCGAGGCGUGUAGACGACGCUGCUUAUCGUCAUCCACAUAUGUACCCUCUAUGUCUCAGUGAAGAACACAGACGGCAAAACUCAUUGCCGCCCACAGAGGACUUCCUCUAUUACGCGUCUAGCGCAGACGGUGAUACUUAUCGCCGCCAGCUAGAGGUCUCAGCAAAACCUAUCGCUGUCUACGAGCUUCCUUUGUGUGCUCGGUGCCCAUCGUCGUCCGCGAGCGUCCUCCGAGUGUUCGGUGCUCAUCAUUGUUCCUCCUACAUUCCACACCUAUCAUCGUGUGCCUCAUGAGAACUAUCAUCAUGCGUUCCAUUAAAGGCUAUCAUUGCCUGCGUAAGGGCAUUUUCCCUUCUCAUGAUGCCAACGGCGAUGCCCAUUGUCGCCUAGGUUUUUCCUCCUUCUGCCUCCUCGCUCUCUUUCUCUUCGUCCCCUUUUCUUCUCUUAACUCUUUUCUAUUCUCACUUGAUUGGGGGUAGACUUAGCCUAGCGCCCCCAUAUCGGUCUCAGUUUAGAGUAGUAUUGUCGUCGUGCUGAUCUCGAGAACCAUGCCUGUCUUGCUAUCACUCCGAGUUGGUAGCUUUCCGGCCAUCAUGCUAGUCUCGCCCUUUAGUCAAGUUUUCUUCUCCUUUCUCUCUUUUUUUGAACCUUCCAUUUCAUCACUCCCUCAUAUGAGCAUACAAUGCCCUAAGACAAGGGUGGGUCGCUUUGACCCACUUGUCUUGCCAAUUUACCAUAGAAGUGUGGAGCAGAAAACAAGAGGAUUGCAAGUCAAGGGAGGUGAUUCCAAACUAGCUAAAGCAGCUGUGGGGUUUUCUUUGUGAUCUAAAAGGGCGGCCACAUGAGCUAGCCUGAGUGAGUCCCGAACCCAUCUUAAAUUCCUCUCUUAUCAGUUGGUAUACUUGCUCUUGUUCUUGAGCAAGGUUCUGAGAGAGUGAUCCCAAAUCUUGGGUUCGCUAAAAACUUGAGAUACGUGUCGCCAUAUCAUCUAGAUCUGGAAGGCGAGAUUGAGCCACCUAACCAGCUUGACAACUCCACUGAGGACAUACUACCCCUUAAUCGAUUCGCUCUUGUUUGACCAGUAUCCUCUUUUACUUUCUGCAUUACCUUCUAUGGCACCCGGGUUGCUCAACCUGUUCAUCCGAGUGGGGGAUUUUCUCAUCCUCACACUCGUGAUUGUCCUAGGGAAGCGAACUGCUCAAGCUUCCUUCCCUACUCUCCUUCUUAGUCAGGACUCACAAUCUGACUCCCAGGUUCUUGCCUAAGUUAGUGCAAGAGGGGACUUAAAAGUCACUGACUCCACGCUUCCUCGCCCUAGUGGACCCUCCAAGGCCCCUUUCAUCGGUGGCACGUCUACCACCUCACAUAGCAUGCACCCUGCUACUGGCAAGUCUCUUGCUGGUCAUAUUGCUGGGGCACACCGAAAGGCUGCCCUAACCACUUUCGCAAGAGGCAAGCAAGUUGUUGUCGCUCUUGAGGUUCGCCGUAAAGCAACCCCCCAUACUCCUUCAUCACUUCGGACAUCUACAUUUAGAGGCUCAGCACACCGAGAUGGAGACCCUACGACCAUCACCCCUCGCACACACCCAAGGGCUUGUGGUCCACCCACUCAAGCCACACCUCGGGGCAACCUUACGUUGCCUUGAGCUCGCAUCCAGGGCUAGGCCUUCUAGGGUCGAACCCUACAAGCGUCAUGCAUUUGCUGUCCACAAAUCGGGGUAGCGUUAGCACCUCGAGCACAUGAGGGUCGAUCGCCCCGUCCCCCCUCUCAGUACACACAGCUUCAUCUUGCGAGAGAUAAGGUUCCUCCUCGUCCCUCACAAACACAAGCUCAUGAGUCUCGGCCUCCUCAGGUCGGACUCAUUGAUUGAGCCCGGGCUGACCCCUAGGUCACCCAGACAACUAACCCUAACGGUGUACACGCACCACCCUUGCAAGUUCCUUCCCGACCCCAACUCAGAUGGAGUCAUGAACCAGCUCCUUCUCCUGCCGCUCUUCCGACACCAGACAAGCACCUCGAGCCCUGGUACUCAAAGGUCUUCCCUAAGAGUACCAUCUUGAGCCAGCCUCUGGCCAGCCGUGCACAUGGGCCCCACAAAGGAACUCGGGGCAAUAGCCUGAUGUCAGACAAAGGCCUCUAGCCUCCAAGGCAGAAACCUAGGCUACCUUCUAUCCUUGGAGCCCACUCCCUGCUCCAACUCAUAGACACGGCCCUUGCAUGUUCAAAGAAGGCGGGGCGGUAUAGGUCUCAAGCUCGGUUCUAAAAUGAAGUCUACAGCUAUCUUAGGGCUAAGUAAAAGAGAGAUCAUCAGAUCCUGACCAAAGAAGCCUCCAAGGCAAUCGAGGUCGCCACCGUUUAUGACCUCUUACUUCGUGACCCUUUUUUCCCUCUUCAAACUCUAAAACCUGAGCGAGUCCAAGAGUAUUGCAGGCUCGUCACUGCCUAGAAACCACGGUCCCAAGACUGUCGAGAACCAGUCCUCACAAGAUCAGCAUACAAGGCUUGAGUCCAGUCCUCACAAGUCGGCUCCUCCUCCUGGCUCUGACUCCUAGAAGAGACGGUUAGUGUCAUGGUGAUCAAUGACCCAGAUGAAGCCCAAGAGGACAGAAUGACCAGGUUCGAGGUAAUGAUGCAAUCCAUCCUUGAAAAGAUGGAACGCCUAGAAGCCUCCAAGCCCACUUCCUCUCACCAUUAGACCGAUUCCCCAAUCGAUGAGGACACAGUUCCUAGACAAACACAGGUCUCCCAAGACAGUUCUGCCUCCCGCGAGGUCUCUCAAACUGAGAUAGAUACUAUGGUGGCCCAUAGCCUCAAGAACAAGGUCCCAGGCAUGCAAGAGGCGUCGCUCUACUAGAAGCCAUACCCUUCGUACAUUGACCAAGUACCCUUCCCUCCGAACUAUCAAAAGGGGAAGCUCCCACUGUUCAACUAUACUAUGUCUCUGCAUCAGUAUACUGCUCACUUCUAGGUGGCUCGUCGAGAGACGGCAACUGACGGACUCCUCCUCCUCCACCAGUUCGACGAUACUCUUGAACGGCAAGCCUUCCAAUGGUAUACUCGGCUGCCUCCCAACUCGAUACACACGUGGCAAGCGAUGGAGCAGUUGUUCUACCAACACUUCUAAAAAGUCCAAAGGAACUUGGAGACAAUCAAACUCCUUACCCUGAGCCAAGACCAUGGUGAGCCCGUUGACAAGUUCUACACCCGAUGGGGAGAGUUGGCAACCUUCCAUGCCACUCCCAUGACUGAGAAGGAAGCGGUCCAGACCUGCAUAUGAAACCUGCUUCCUAAGAUCGCCCUGCAUGUCGACCCUCCAUGUUAGAGCUCAUCUCUAAGGAAGUUCGUAGUGAUGGGUUAUUCAAGCACCAUGGUAGCCCUCGUCGGCAACCGCCCGGCCUAACCUAUCACUCCAACAGUCGGACAGCUAAAAAGCAGUGAUCAACGUGGUCGCCACCAUGACUGGCACUAAGAGCACGGCUCCUCAAACCCUGGACCUUUCCAAGGCACAUACAUCUCCGAGCGAGGGCAAGCAGUUGUCCUACAAUGAGGUCCCGCCUCCUAAAAAUAGUAAGCGAAAUGACUUCUGGAUCCAGCACCAGAAUAAGGUUUACCCCUUCGACAAGGAGUGGACUCUUGAACUGCUUCGGCUGCUUUUAGAACAUAACAUGAUCCAGCUGCCGGAGUCCAAUACUGCAAAGUCAAUUAGGUAGGAGACGAAUGAGAGGUACUACGCCUAUCACAGGAGAGUAGGCCACCCAACUCACAACAGCUAUAAGCUCAACGGCACUAUCGAAUCCCUUAUCAACAAGGGUCAGAUAAAGCUCGAAGAGUUGAAGAAAGUGUUUGGGGCAACUGAGGCUUCUCACAUAGUCAUGAUUCAAGAGGGUGACGAGGCACCCAUUAUCCUCCGUGCAUUUUUCUCCAUAAUACUUGAAGAAGGACUCAUCACUCCCAAGCCAACAAGGCAGCCUAAAGUCCUGCAUCCAGGGACUGAGAACCUCUAGUAUGCAUAUCACCAAAUACAAGGACGUGACGUCAACGAACGCACUGGAUUCCACGAACUAUUGGAAAAGAAGAUGCAGCAGUGCCAGGAAGUUCAAGGCAACCUAGGAGGACACCCUUAAGUCCCUCUUCCACUUGUACGAGAAAACCCCCCGAUGCAAGCCAAGAAAAAUACUAAACAGGACCCUCUUCGAGGCAAUGCUCCAACAAGCCUCGUCACUCCCAAGCCCGCCAGGCAACCAAGGCAUCUGGCCCAGGGCACGGAAAACCUCUGGUGCCCAUAUCCCCACGUAUGUGGCCACGAGCUGGAAGAAUACUCUGCGUUCGAAGCCAGAAAGGCCACAUGGUCUGUGCCAUCCUCCUAGAACAUUUUCAGGCUGUCACCCGUUCACAAGGAAGUUGCACUACAAGCCCUUCAUAAGCAUGCACUGAACCCUUCAGAGCCCUCGACCUCUCAACCCUGGGAAGUCUACCAUGGUCGAAGUAGGCUCAAAUCCCUGAAGCGUGAGGCAAUCCACCAAGCUAGGACUACUCACCAGCCCGAGAAGGAAAUCCAAACACCCCCUCAGGGACCCAGAAUGGGACCACAAACACCUAGGUCAACCCAUCGAAGGAAUCGUCUUUCUCAGCCACCAGUCGAGGAAGAAUUUCUCAGGCUUCUUCCCCCACUGCCAACCUUGCAAUACUUCAUCCCAGGCGCAUCUCGCCUCAUCCUUUCGUCCAAUCAGGAGAACAUUCUUGAGUCACCAAAAGCUUGGGAUUCCUCCAAUAUGGGUGACGACACUAAUAGCAACCCACAAUGUCAAACUUGGAGCAAGACCUAAAAUAUCCCCUGAGUACGUCCAAUUUCAGUGAUGACGUAAAAAGCUGCCCGGAAUGUUCUAACUAUUCUUCUCCUCCUUCCUCUUCUAUUUCCUCUACAUGUGCAGCUCAACGUUGCCCAGACUUCGACACUCUAAACACAGAGUUCGGAGGCAUCAGCCUCACCCAGCCAUAGCAAGAGUGCUUCAGAGAGAUGUUGGCUCAAGCCGCUGAAUUCUUGAAAGUCGCCGAUGCCCUGUCAACCCAAGCAAAGACCGAGUCAUCUUCGGUCUCCUGUUCCAAAGAGGCCUGCCACAUGAUCCAAUUUCAUGAAGCGUCCUCUAGUUCAGGGCAAACACCAACUGAUCUCAGUCAAGAGGUCUGACCCUUUCAUUGCCUGGACUAGCCAGAAAUUGGGAGACCUCUCCCACACUAUGCCCCUCUUAGAAGCCGAGAUGUCAGGAUCAUGGGUUUCUACACUCGAGAUCAAAGAAAAUCCUUGUGAGUCCUCUGAUGAGGAACUUCAGGAAGCUCCAAAAGAGUGGGAAGAAGGCAAUCAGGCCACGACCGCCGAGCUUGAAGAGAUCAACCUAGGGGAUGAGACCGACCUAAGGCCAACUUUUAUCUCAGCAAAUAUGUCCUCAGAAGAGAAAGAAAGUUAUAUCUCCCUCCUUCAAGCAAAUCAGGAUUUAUUUGACUGGCAUUAUCAUGAGAUGCCUGGUCUAGACCCGCAAAUUACUCUCCAUCGACUCGUCAAUGAUCCAUCAAUCAAACCCAUAAAGCAGAAAUCAAGAAGCUUUAAACCCGACCUCGAGAUGCAAAUCGAUGCUGAAGUGAAUAAACUCAGGUAGGCUGGAUUCAUACGUGAAGUCAAAUACCCAAGAUGGCUGGCAAAUGUCAUCCCAGUCAAGACGAAAAAUGGUCAAAUAAGGGUCUGCAUUGACUUUCGUGAUUUGAAUACCGCCUGCCCCAAGGAUGAUUUCCCCCUGUCGUUCACCUAGAUGCUUGUCGACUCCACGGCUCAUUGCCAGAUCUUCUCCUUUAUGGAUGGAUAUUCUGGUUACAAUCAAAUCAGGAUGGCGCCUGAACAUGACGAGGCCACUGCGUUCCAGACCCCAAAAGGUGUCUUUUGCUACACUAUGAUUCCUUUCGGGUUAAAGAAUGCCGGUGCCACGUACUAGUGAGCCAUGACAACCAUCUUCAAAGACAUGAUCCACAAGGAGGUCGAGUGCUAUGAGGAUGACUUGGUGGUGAAGUCUGACACAAAGGAUACUCACAUACAAGAACUUUAAAAGUUCUUUGAACGACUGCGGCGCUGCCAACUCAAGAUGACUCUAAAAUGCACCUUCGGUGUACGCUCAGGAAAGUUCUUAAGGUUCAUUGUGAGGUACCGUGGACUAGAGAUCAAGCUAGUUAAAAUCAAGGCAAUUCGAGACAUGACGUCGCCUCCAUGAACUGCAGUCUCUCCAAGGAUGGCUUGCCUACAUUCGAAGGUUCAUUUCAAACCUUUCAAGGCAAUGCAGACCCUUUUCACACCCCUUGAAGAAGGACACUCCUUUCUUAUGGGAUGAAGCGUGCCAAGCUGCGCUUGAUGAUAUCAAGCAGUACUUGUUGAAUCCACCAGUACUCUCCACUCCAGUGUUAGGAAGGCCUCUUAUCCUUUAUGUGACCACCUUUGAUGAUCACUUAGGGAACUCUUAGUGCAGAACAAUGAUGGAGGGAAAGAGACAGUGCUCUAUUAUCUAUGCCGCAGAAUGCAGGAGCCGAGAAGAAUUACCCUCUCAUCAAAAAGAUGUGCUUAGCCUUGAUCUUUGUAGUACAAAAGCUCUGUCAUUACUUGCUCGGUCACGAGGUCAAGUUAAUCUCCAAGGCAGACCUGGUCAAGUUCCUUAUGACCCAGCCAUCCUUGUCAGGAUGUUUGGCCAAGUAGGCAUUAUUGCUGAUGGAGUUUGACAUCACGUAUGUAUCGUAGAAGGCAGUUAAAGGCCAGGCCCUAGCAGAUUUCCUCUCUACUCCCUUCAAAAUCUCCCCUAUCGAGCCACCUCCCAGAAGAAGAAGUUUUUUGUACAACGCUAAUUCGGUCGUGGGAAAUGUACUUUGACGGAGCAUUCCAGUCUGAUAAAGGGGGCGCUGAAGUUGUGUUCUUGACUCCCUCUAUCCUUCUCACUUACAGAGGCAUUUUCUCAUAACGAAGCCGAGUAUUGCCCAAGAACUAGACCUGGAGCACCUGAACAUCUUUAGUGACUCUGAGCCGGUCAUCCAGCAGCUUAAGGGGAUUUAUGACGUAAGGAAAGAUACCCUCAAGCCUUAUCAUGAUACGACUACAUCUUAUAUGGCCCAGUUGGAUGAUUGCUCCCUGAGACACAUCCCUGGAAGGGUAAACUCACAGGCUGCUGCACUCUCAAAGCUCGACGCCACCAUUUAAUUGUCUUAAUCAGGGCACACUUCAGUCUGGGUAAACCGAAUGGAGACACGUCGACUUGAGAAUCGAAGUUGACGUAGAUAAUGAGAGGGAUGUCUUCCCUGAAUGCCCGCCUUACCCAUUCAGGACACUUCUUGCAGCCAAAUAUGUCAUUGAGGCGGAGCAAGAGAUGCCCCAAGAUAAAGAAUCUAAGGUCAAGAAGCAAGAGCCCGAAUUCUUCAACCCGAUGUGUGCACAGGUUGAACAAUUCGAAGAUUGGAGGGAGCCGAUCAUGGACUUCAUAAAGCAUGAAAGGCUACCUCAAGAUCGGGCGAAAUGCAACGGCAUACGAUGGAGGUCUACCAAGUACACCCUUCUCAACGGUGACAUUCUCUUCUGUCAGUCAUUUGAAGGAAUUCUCCUGAGAUGCAUCGUUAAACAAGAGGCAAGCAAAGUACUCGAAGAAGUGCAUUCGGGUAUCUACAGCCUGCAUCAGUCCGACCCGAAGCUCUACAAGCGCAUAUGCAGACUCGGCUAUUAUUGGCCUUCAAUGGUGGCUGACGCCCAAAACUAUGCUAAGAGAUGCCAAGUGUGCCAAAUUCACUCAAGCCUCAUUCAUUAACCCUUAGAGCCUCUCCAUCCCACAGUGACAUCAUGGCCCUUUUCCCAGUGGGGUAUGGAUAUUGUGGGACCCAUCGACCCUCCUUCUACCUUGGGUCAUGCCUUCAUCCUAACAGUGACAAAUUACUUUUCCAAGUGGGCUAAAGCGAUCCCCCUCAAUCAGGUUCCAAGGACUGCGGUAGCUAACUUUGUGCAUCACCACAUCAUCUAUUGAUUCAGGGUUCCAAACUGAAUAAUAUUUGAUAAUGGGCCCCAGUUUAGAAGCCAUCAUGUUGAUCGCCAAGCCAACCCGUUCAGCCUCGAGUGGAAGUACUCGACUAUGUACUACCCUUGAUCCAACGGUUUGGCUGAGGCAUUCAACAAAACUUUGUGCGGGGUGUUUUAGAAGUCAGUUUCGAAGUCAAAGAAGAAUUGGCAGGAGAAGUUGCCUGAAACUCUGUGUGCCUAUGUCACCACCAGCCAAAAUGCUACAAAUUCCACUCCUUAUUCCCUGGUCUAUGGCGGUGAGGCGGUCUUAUCCCUCGAGGUUCAAAUACCUUCACUCUAUGUCGCUAUACAUCAGGGAUUGACUAAAGGUGAGAGGGUCAAGCUUCGUUACCAAGAGUUGGAUUCCCUUGACGAAAAGAGACUCAAGGCCCAGCAGAACUUCGAGCUCAAUCAAGGAAGAAUGAAGAGAUCCUUUGACAAGUCUAUCAAAAUUCGCUCAUUCGCUCAUGGGGAUCUAGUCUUAGCAGUCAAGAGACUGAUUGUCAUGCAUGGGCACUGUAAAGGAAAAUUUGAACCCAAGUGGGAAGGUCCGUUCAUAGUAAAAAAGGCCACGCCAAACGGGGCCUAUGUAUUGGCAAAAUCGGAUGUAGGAGAGGCAAUGCCCCCCAUUGAAGGGAUAGUCAGGACUAGUGACUUUCAACACUCAUAUCACACUCGUCCAAGGUCAGAUCAAGCCUAAAUUUUGUGAGCAUAUUUGUCUCAUCAAGACGAGCAUUUCGAUAUGUGGCACACCUCAAAAUGAUUCCCGAGCACGAACAAAAGCUAGAGAGAAGUUGCUGAUUCGUGAAUAACGUGCAAGAAAAUCAGUAACACCAUGCCUUGCUCAAGCGACCAAAUCAUGCCAAUCGCGAACCUGAUUGUCACGAGACCAAUUUCAUCAUGUGCGUAAGGCUUAGGGUAUCUCUGACCCAAACGCUGUCCAUGAUGAACGGUUGGAUUUUGCAUACCAAUCUGACGAAGUGACUAUGAAUUUUGCCGCCAGAAUUCCAAAUUCUGGUCAAAAUUUCAAAGUUGCAAACCCUUCUACCGAACACGGAAUCGAGCUGCGUUUGUUACCCCGCGAUCAUGAUGGCAUGCUCAAUAUAUUCCAGUGAAGAAAUCACAUAAAAACAUAAAGGAACGAGCACAUAAUCAAUCCGAAGUUUCAUUCAUUCAAAUUUCAAGUCACAUGAUUGUGCCCUAAAAACACGAUCCAUGGCUCGAAGUUGGUAUCAAAUCGAUCAUCUUGCCGAGCCCUACAUGGAAACAAUCAUCUUUCAAUAAACUGGGCAUCAGAACGACCUCGGAUCAUCUAUGCAAGAUCACGCAAGUUCUAGGGCAACACAGGGACUUUUGGAAUUCCACAAAUUGUUAGGAAUGGACAAAUCUGUCAUUUUGUACUUUUUUCUAAUUUCUUUUAAUUUAAUUUAAUCUUAAUUUUCAGCAAUUAGAGUUAUUUUUUAUCAUCCAUCCAUGUUUGGGGCAAUUUCUAUAUAUACAUUGUACCAUCAUUUUACACAAAGGACUCAAUCCCUCACAAAAGAGAGUUUUUACUUAAUACAGUUUCUCUUUCUUACCAUUAUCAGGUCACAUUUGGAGAGAGUUUUUACUUAAUACAGUUUCUCUUUCUUACCAUUGUCAGGUCACGUUUGGAGAGAGUUUUUACUUAAUACAGUUUUUCUUUCUUACCAUUGUCAGGUCACGUUUAGAGAGAAAGAGCAAGGUGAGAGAAAAUUUUGAUCGGUACCCCUAGACUUGAGGUAGAUCUUCGCCUUUUCUUUUCUUCACUCGCUUAUUCUUCUUACUCUUCUUCUUCUCUUUCUUCUUCCUCUUCCCCGUCUGAGUCCCUCUCAGAGACCAUGCACAGCAAUGGCAGUGUCGUGCAUGCCUCUUUGGUGGUCUCACAGGUCGCACAUGGCUAUGGCAGUGCCAUGCAGGAGCUUCUCUCUUCUUUUGUUCUCUCUCCUAGCGAGGCGUGUAGACGGUGCCCAUCGCCAUCCGCAGAUGUACCCUCGACGUCUCAGUGAAGAACACAGACGGCAAAACUCGUUGCCGCUUGCAGGGGACUUUCUCUGUUACGCGUCUAGUGCAGACGGUGAUACCUAUUGCCGCCCACUAAAGGUCUCGGCAAAACCUGUCACUGUCCGCAAGCUUCCUUCGCGUGCUCAGUGCUCAUCACCGUCUGUGAGCCUCCUCUGAGCGUUUGGUGCUCAUCGUUGUUCCUCCUACGUUCCACGCCUAUCAACGUGCGCCUCAUGAGAAUUAUCAUUACAUGCUCCAUGAGAGGCUAUCGCCGCCCGUGUAAGGGCGUGUUCCCUUCUCAUAAUGCCAACGGCGAUGCUCAUUGCCGCCUGGGCUUUUCCUCCUUUUGCCUCCUCGUUCUCUUUCUCUUCGUCCCCUUUUCUUCUCUUUACUCUUUUCUUUCCUCACUUGACUGAGGGUAGACUUAGCGUAGUGCCGCCAUAUCGCUCUCGGUUUAGAGUAGUAUUGUCGUCGUGCUGGUCUCGAGAACCAUGCCUGUCUUACUAUCACUCCGAGUCGGUAGCUUUCCAACCGUCAUGCUAGUCUCGCCCUUUUAUCAAGUUUUCUUCUCCUUUCUCUCUUUUUUGGAACCUUAUGUUUCAUCACUCCCUCAUAUGAGCAUACAAUGCAUUAAGACAAGGGUAGGUCUCUUCGACCCACUUAUCUCGUCAAUUAACCAUAGAAGUGUUGUGUAGAAAGUAAGACGAUUACAAGUCAAGGGAGACGAUUUCGAACCAGCUAAAAUAGCUGGGGGGCUUCCUUCGUGAUCUAAGAGGGCACCCACGUGAGCUAGCCCGAGUAAAUCCCGAACCUAUCUUAAACUCUGCUCUCAUCGGUUGAUAUACCUAUUGCUUGUUCUUGAGCAAGGUUCUGAGUGAGCGAUCUCAAAUCUCGGGUUCACUAAAACCCGAGAUACAUGCCGCCAGGUCAUCUAGAUCUCGAAGGCGAGAUCGAGACAACUAACCAGUCACAAGUGGUUAGAACUGAGAGGAAGGUGGGACAUGUAGGAGAACAUCAGAGAAAGAGAGAGAAAGCCAUCCAGCAAACCCUAGACCUAGCUUUAAGCCACACUUAGACCAAGAUAACAAUUCAACCAAGCCAAGGCUUGGUCAAAACUUGAAGAGUGUGAUUGUCCUUAUUCCUUUUCACCUUUCUACAUUUAUUUUAUGUAUUUUUUUAUUUUUAUUAGAUUAAAUAUGUUUUAUUACAUUUUAUAUUGUAUUUCGUGCUUUUGGAUCGAUGCUCGCUCUGUCAAUGAUCUGAGAGUGGAUUUAUUUGUUUUUUAAUAGAUCUGGCCUCAGAUCAGAAUUUGAUUGUCCCGACUAUCUCUAUCAUUUUUUUAAAAAAAUCAAUUUAUAGUAUUCAGAUCUGAGGGAUCUUCUUCUGGAGAUCUCUCCGAUUUUGCACUGUAAACAUGAGUAUAUAAAAGCGUGGGAUUUAAUAUUUUCAUACCAAAAUCCUACUUGUAUACACAGCUGGUUUUCACCGUUCAGGAUAAAAAGCCGACGAGAUAUCCCAAAGUGGUUUAAAAGCUGGUUUUAUACAUGAAGACCUUUGCCUGAUAUACUUCUUGGUUCCAUUAAAGAAUCAAAAAAAAAAAAAUUUGAGUUUAAUAAAAAUGCUGGAAAAACAGACACAGAAUUAUAUUUAUGGAUUUUAUGUGAAAUCUCAUGGAUUAUGAGAUGGGAAUAUGUUAUAAGCGACGAUAAUGAUAGGUGAGAUUAUAUCCCAAAUCUUGUUUUAUAUUAAAUGGUAGGAUAUUUUCACCACCAUACAACUUGUCCCAAAUAAAAUCACCCUUAAAAAGGAUGUCCCAGUUAAUUUGACUAUUAUUAGUGAAGCAGAUGAAUUACUUAACUACUUAAAUCAAGUAGAAACAAAACACAUUUCCAAAGUUGAGCUUAAAAGAAGGCUCUCAAUGGCCUUACGAGAAGAAGAAGACAAAAUGUCUAUGUCCCAGCAGGAUGACGAAAACUAGAACGAAGAAGGCUUCGAUCCAGACUACUUUGAGCCUUUCACAUCACAAUAUUGUUCUAGAUAAGGGAAGGUCGGACUCCAAUCAAUCCAGGACAUGUGCCCCGAUAGUACUUGAAAAAUCACUGGGAAAAAGACAAAGGAAUCUACUUUUUCACAAAAAACACUGUAGAAGUUACUAUAGCAACGAUGAAUGUAGCAAUUUCACUAUUCAGUCACUAUAGACCUUUUUCAGUCACUGUGCGGACUUCAAAAUAAAACGAGUCCACGGACAAUCUAUUGUACGAAUUUCAAACUAAUUCAAGUCUACCGACACGAUGCGGACUUCAAACAAGUUCAAGUCCACCGAUAAUAAGGGUCUAUAAAAGGAGGGACUUCCUCUUCAGAGAGGCAUCUCAAGAUUUCUAGAAAAUUAUAGUCUUCUCUAGUAGGAAUAAGAGAAGGCUUAGGAGUGGAAUGCCUGGAACUAUUUUUUCCCAUGUUUAUGUAUUGGGCUAAAGCUUCCUUCUUACCUUCGGGAUUACUAAUUUUAUCAAUCAGGUCGAUAAUUAGAUUUUUUUCUUUUGUGAGUGUAUCUAAGCUCAACCCAUUCAUAUUAAUAAUGGCUUUAUAAAUAUUACAGUGACAAGAGUCACCCUGAUUUUGGUUGUCAUCAUCAUUCGAAUCGGGGUCAGAACUUGAAAGAAUUAAUUCUUCAUCUUCAAUUUCUCUGAUUAACAUCUCUUCACCAGAUUCAGAAGAGCUAUCCGAUGAUUCUAAUUUUAGUAAAAUAUUGUAUAAUUGUCUUUUAAUACUAUAUUCAAUUCCAAAGGAAUUAAUCUUCUUUUUUACUCUGUAUUUGUUUUUAUAAUGUCCUACUUUACCAAAAUUAAAACAAACAUGUAUUUUUCUUUUUCCCUUUUUUUUAAAAGAUUCACAUUUCACAAAUUUUUUAUAAACUUUUCCUUUCCUUUUAGAAGACUGGUCCCUCUUCGAUGAUGAUUUAUACUUCUUAUACUUUUCACCACUCCAAGAUUUUUCUUUAUAAUGUGAACUAGAUGGUAAAAGAGUAUUAUAACCAAACAAUUCACAAAAAUCUCUAAGUUUUUUUUUGCCUGUCAUUCUUUGUUUAUCUAAUUGUCUUCUAACUUUGAGAUAUAUGCACAUGGCAAGGCAUUCGGCGCAAAUCUCAGCUGAUAAUUAUCCAAAUGUAUAUUGUGAGUAUGGUAUAAUACCAUUGUACUUGUUUUUAAGUCUGGUCUUGACUUUUUCAUCAAAAAGAUUUGGAAGUCCUAAACUAAAAUUUUCUUUCCAAUGAUCUGAUUUGCUAUCUUCUCUUGACAAAAGUCUCAAGUAAAAAACAUCUUUAUACCAUUUAAAAUGAGAUAGGAUUGGACAUCAAAGAUUGCAUUAUAAAUCUUUUGACGAGCGGCUAGAAGUGCAGUACUACCUACAAAGUGGAGUGUAAUUGUGUAGGUUAAAGUGUUUACUGCAUCUCCUUCAUCUACUAUGGUUUCUUGAACUUGUCCUGGGCCUAUUUCUGUUUUAACAACCCAUUUUUUAGUAGUAUUUAAAAUCUGAUUUCGGGCAGAUUCGUCCAAGUAGAAAUCCCACCAUCCUCGAAGCCAUCCAGUAAAUCCACAUACAAUAGCCUUAGUAAUUUCGUGGUCUUUAUUACCACUAGCUUUACAGGCAAUAGCACAUAUGGUCAUGUGCUUCAUUAAAUCAAGCACUUGUGCUUCAGAAAAGCCAUCUAUAUUCCAAUUUACAAUGAACUUUCUGAAUAAGUGAUUGAGCUUGCGACAAGGUCUUCUUCUAUUUCAAGAUCUACAGGAGUAGGCCUAGGAUAAUACAUCCUGGUUUGGGCUACAGGCCUAGUUUUUCUUCUAUAAUCAAUUUUAUUUAUUUUUAGGCUUUCUGUUUUAAAAGAAUGUUUUAUAUCCAUUAUUUCCUAAUUAGUGUACUGAUUGUUUUCUUGUACAACAUUUACUCCUUUUUCUUUUCUAAUGAUCUUAUACUUGAGUUUUUAACCUAAUUCUAUUACUAAGUACUUGUAUUGUCUCCUUCUUUUUUCUACUUCUUCGUAAAUUAAAUUUAACCCUNNNNNNNNNNNNNNNNNNNNAUUAGAUGAUGCAUCUAGGAAAGUUGGAGCUUUGUCCAUGAAGUAGACAAAAGAUACUAAGUAAUUUGUAAAAGUUUACAUAUAUAUAUAUAUCCCUUNUUAAAAAAAUGUUUUGAGGUCCACUCUAAGUUUUUAUAUUUUCAUUUUGAGUCUAUUUUCCAAAAAUAUUUGAGAGAGAAACUCCAUGGGCAUGAAGAGAAAAAUAUUAUUAGGGUCAUCAUGAAUUUCUAUAAUCUGAUAUGUUUUUAUGACGUGAAUGUCACUUAUUUAUCUCCAUGUGAAAAAUAUUAUUUGGGAUUCAAACUGUGAUAUUAAAUUUUGGUUUGGAGUCAAAUUUUCAAUAGAAGACGUUUGAGGGAAAAACUCGAUGUGGUUUGACAAAAAGAUUUUUAUUAUGAAGGGAUUCUAAUCCUGAUUUUUUGCUGUAUGAAUUGUGUUGUGACGUAAAUGUUACCAGUUCACUGAAUGGUGUGAUUUGGGGAUGUUACCAACUAUAAUUUUGUACUUUUGAGUCUAUUUUAAUACUAAAACAAGUUGGAGAGAGAAAUUCUCUGUGAGUUGAGAGAUCGUAUUUUCAUCUUCUAUUCUACAGUAAAUUGAAAUGUGUCACAUUUGGGUACUCCCUUGAUUGGAAGCAUUUUUAGGGUCAUUCUUAGUUUCAUAGUGUAUUCUUGAUAUGAUUUAUGAUAGUAAAAACUUCAAAGAGAUGUCAUGAAAUAUUAGGGGGAUAUGACACCAUAUGUGAAGGGUGCUCAGUCUGGAAAUUGGGAAAAGAAGAAGUAUAUACAAUACAUGUAAAAGGAUCUUGUUUCCCCUUUGUUUCGGGCAAUGAAAGAAGCAACUUGAUUAAAGAACUUCCUUGAGUUGCAAAGAUAUGACCCCAUGUGAUGAGGGUGCGUGAGAUAUCUUCUACGAUAAUGAGUCCAUGAUUCAUAAUGCUAAUACAGACGACGUAAAAAAGGACUACGAAUGAGAUCAAAGCAGCAGGAAGAGAGACUUCAUGACUCCCACAAAGGCUACAUACACGAAUCCUUAGUGAAAGGAAUGAUGGCAAAGGAGUUCAUCAAGUUAUCUAAUGAGCAUAAGAGACAAUAAGUGAGAAACACUUGAGAAUGAGAUUGUAAUGGGGGAAAGAGAAUGAGGGUGAGUUAUUGAAAGGCCUUCAAAGGCCAAGUGGGAGAUGUUGGGGUUAUAUGGUCAUUCAAAGGUGGAGUUAUAUAGCCAAUUAAAGGCCUUAUGAGAACAUUUACUGAAAUCGUAUCUGGUGAUAUGUUGGCUCAAGUGGGAGUGUGGUCCAGUUUGGACUAUGAGGCAUUAUAAAUGGUGAGAAUAACUUGAGCGUUAACUAGCCAUGGCUCAAGGUGAUGUCUAAAGCCUAUACCCUGGGCAUUUUGUGCACAACAGGUUAGGGUUUCAAUAUAGGGUUAUCCUUGCUAAGGUUACAAUUGUGCCCAUGGUGGUUGGCCAGGGGAUUAGAUGUGACUCAUGUGUGUGAUGGUAAGGGCCAAAGUCCUCAUCAUUACCAUCACAUACCAUGUAUACUAGAUAGUCGUUCAGGAAGUAAUCAUUUGGAUGACGGUAUGUGUUGUAUACAUGUGCUGAAGAGAUGACUCCCUACAACACUGGGCUGUGUUAGAAGGACCCAUGAAGCAUAGUGUCGGAAUGGAGCACAGACUUGUCCUCAAGGAGUGACAUGUAAUCCAUGGACUAGGUUCGUGUCUCCUUUAUAUAUUGGCUGACUUUGAUAGUCCAUGAACCCCUUCGAAGGGUUGUGGGCCAUAAAGGGAUUUAUUAAGAUUGCAUACAAGGUUCUCUUUCCCUUUCUCCUCAAAUUUUUUCUUCUAAAUCCCCAUUUAGAAAGGCUGUUUUGACAUCCAUUUGAUGAACCUCAAAGUCAAAAUGGGCCGUUAUAGCUACAAGGAUUUGGAUGGAUGGAAAUUUUGCAACAGAGGAAAAGGUUUCCUCAUAAUCUAUCCCUUCUUUCUGGGUGAAACCCUUUGCAACCAACCUAGCUUUAUAUUUUUCUAUUUUCCCUUCAAAGUUCAACUUUUUCUUGAAAAUCCACUUACAACCAAUGGCCUUACGUUUUUCACGUAGGGGUACUAAUUCUCAUACAUAGUUUUAGUUAAUGGAAGCAUACUCAUCUUUCAUGGCUUCUACCCUGUAUUCCCUUUCAGGACAGGUCAAGGCUUCUCAGUGAGUUCUAGGUUCUGAAAUCUAGAUCUUCCUCAACUUUAUCAAAAUAUUCUUCAAGGUAGACAAAAUGUUCUAGGUAAAGAGGUGGUCAACUGACUCGGUUACUUCGUCUUGGUUCAAGUAAAGAUUCACUUUCUAUAGGGAGUUCAGAAUCAAGUUGGGUUGGUUUGGAAGUUUCAAAUUUAGGGUCUCGAACUACAUCCUUGUUUUGGGUCUCCUCAUAAAAGUCGGCUUAUUUUCUACUCACCCUUGCUUCAAGGAACUCUUCCUCGAAGAAGUGAGCAUCACAGCUUUCAAUAACCACACAUGUUUCAAGGUUGUAGAAUCGAUACCCAUUACCAUGAUCUAGGUAACCAAUGAAAUGGAUUUGACAGUGUUUGGGUUGCAAUUUGGUUCUAUUUUGAUGUGGGAUAAGGACAUGGGCUGAGCAACCCCAAACUUUCAGGUGUUCAAGGGAGGGAGUAUGACUUGUAAAAAUUUCAUGAGGAGUAAGUGGGGCAGCUUUUGUGGGAGCCCGGUUAAGGAUAUAACAUGCUGUUAAUACGACUUCUCCCCAAAACAUCAAUGAGAGAUUUGCAUGCCCCAUCAUACUCCUUACCAUUUCCACUAAGAUCCUAUUCCUUCUCUCAGCUACAUCAUUUUGUUCAGGAGUAUAAGGCAUUGUGUACUGAUGGAUGAUCUCAUUUUCAAUGCACAAUUCUUUGAAAAGGUCAGAUGAAUAUUCCCCCCCUAUCGGUUUUGAGGACUUUAAUUUUUAAGUUGGUUUGGUUCUCUACCUGGGCCUUAUAUUCUUUGAAUUCUUUCUAGGGCUUCUAAUUUUGUAAGAAUAAAGUACACAUGGCCAUAUCACGAGUGGUCAUCUAUAAAAGAGAUAAAAUAUCUUUUUUCACUUUUGGUGAUCAUAUUCAUAGGUCCGCAUAUGUCACUAUGAAUGAUUUCCAAUACGCUAGUAGCUCUUUUUGCCCUAGUGGUAUUUUUCCUUAUUAGUUUUCCUUGCACAUAAGACUCGCACACUUUCGAUAAAUUUCCCUUAUAAUUUUGAAGAAUCCCGUCCUUUUUUAAUCUUUUCCUUUCGUUUGAUAUUAAUGUGUCCUAACCUCAUAUGUUAUAGGGUAGCAUUUAAUUCAUUAGGGGAUGAGACAUAAGCAACGCUCUCUUUUAUUUCAAUAGUAAAUAGCCCGUCUACAAGUCAUCCAGUCAUGAUCUCAUCUUUCCCCUUCUUGACCAUCACUUUCUCCCCAAUGAAAGUGGUUAUGAAUCUAGCCAUAGACAUCUUAGGAACUGAAACUAAGCGCUUUCUCAUAUCAGGAGCAUAAAGUACUUGUUUUAGGAUCAAGGUACUCCCACUCUUUAGUUUCAGUACAAGAUCUCCAACUUCAAGUACAUCAGUCUUCUGAUUUCCUCCCAUAUAAAUAUGCUAUUGUCUUGGCCCCAUGGGAGUGAAAGAAUGAUAACCUUCCUUAGUGUUUAUAACAUGGGUCGUAGCCCCUAGUCAAGACACCAAGAAGCUCCCUUGGGGUCAACUAGCAUGGACUCGAAAACCACACAUGUCAAUUCCUUGUUAGUUCCACUAGAUUUGUUGAACCGACAACUAUUGGCUAUCUGGCCCACCUUCUUGCAAAUAAAACGAGUUAGAGUCUCUCUCUUUGCUCCCUUAUUUUCAAAAUCUCUUCUUUUGAAAUAUCUUUUCUUCUCAAAAGUAUUUCUUCCCUUUCCUUUUUUAAAUUUAAAAGAUGGUCGAGAUUUUACCAUAUGCACAGUAUCCCUUGGGGUUUGCCUUGAACUCCUCCUUUCUUCUUCAAAUUUGAUGGUUGUGAUGAGUUCCUCCAAUUUGAUACCUUUCUUCUAGCACAGAUGGAAGAUAUGAAAGUCUCCCAUGAAUUAGGAAGAGAAUUCAUUAAUGAAUCACUUGCAUAGAUUCAUUAAGCUUCAUACAUGUAUCUUCCAAAUCUCUGACUAGCGCACGAAACACGUGCACAUGAUCUGUAAACUUGGUACCUUCUACUAUUUUUAAAUCAUUGUACCUUAUCGUAACCAUAGUUUGCUUCAUGAGAGAAGGUUCAGCAUACUCUCUUUCAAGUUUAUCAAAAAUCUCACUUGCAGUAUAGAUUGACUUGUACUCAGAAGCAUACGAGUCAAUCAUGGCACAUAAAAGAAUGUACUUGCAUCUCAAGUUCCUCCUCUUCCAAUUGGCGUACUCAUCUUUGAUUAUUUGAGAUGAGUCGUCAGUUGGACGACGAGGUCGGUCCUCAAAGAGUACCUCAUGCAAGUUUUCUUCAUAGAGCACAAAUUUGAUUUUUCUUUUCCAUGAAGCAAAGUUGAUCCCAUCAAACCUUUCGGUUUUCAGGAUCUCAGAGAUGGAGGUACGAACAGCCAUAUAUUUCUAUUCUCAAGCAAAAAUAAGAAAAGACUCUCAAUGACAAUCAAGUAAAACUAGCUUUGAUACCAAUGAAAGAAAGACCUAUGUGAUCUUUAGCUGAGAGAAUACAAUUUUUUUUUAAAAAAAUAAUAAUAAUCACCCCUUAUAAUUUUGGCAAUAAGAUCACUCACAAACGAUCUUAUUACAAACAAUAGAAAUUCCAAAAAAAAAAAAUCUCAACUAUUUGAUGCCAUUCAUAUAACCUAAUAUUGUGCUUGAGAAUAUAAAAUAAAAGAACUUAACAAAUAAAAGAAAAGAUGCCGGAGAUUACAUCAAUCGGGUUUUUUACACCACACACCGAGUCACCACAUCCAAUGGCAUGGGAUCUGUGGUCUAGCUUCAAUCUUGAAUCGAGAUUGCUGAUUUCAGCCAAACUAGAUAAUCACCCCUUAAAAACUCUACUAAAACUUUAACCCCCAAUAUUAACUUAGAUCAACUUAGAUCUAGAGAGGAGAGAGAGUACCACCUAAAAUUUGAAGAGAGCAAAUUAGAGAGAAAAAGAUGGAGGAGAUAGAGUGGGGCAUGCCCCUCUAGGAGAGAGAGAGAGGCUAUAGGAGAGAGAUAUCAUAUUGAGAUUGGGGAGGAGAGCACCCCUAUUUAUAGUGAAUAUUUAAGUUUAGGGUUUCUUAUGGUUUUUUCAUAGUUUACCUCUUUCAUGAGAUUGAAUCUAGACAGUUGACCAAGAUGACUUGUGGGGUGAGAGAUCUGAGCCAUCCAUUCCAUAUAGGCCAUCAACAUUAUGGAAGGUGCUUGGACCAUUAUCCCCUUCGCGUUAAACCAUUUUCCCAUCAAUAUAUUUAAAUAAAAUAAAUAUCAUGCAUUCUAUAAAAUUGCAUGAUCCAUGUCACAUAUUCCAUAAAGAUAUGUCAAAUAAUAUCAAGUAGAUAAAUACUACCAAAUAUGAAUAAGAUAAGAUCCAUAUCAAUUCAAAUUGACUAUAUCUCUUUAAAACAAACUUGCUACAAAAUAGAUUAAAGUCAUGGUCAAUAUAUCCCUUCCAAGAUUUGACUACAUGCCACAAAUCAAACUAAUAUUAUCUUAAAAGCAAACAAAAGAAUCCAAACAGGGUGGGGGGUGCCACCCUUUUGUGGCACAUGUGGGCCCCCACCCACAUGCCACAUGGUGGGCCCAUGUGCACUAUAGGCCCCCAUGGAAUUUCAAAAAAUAUAUAUAUUAUUUUAAAAUUUGAAUAAAAUAAUUUAAAAUAUAUUUGAAUUUUUAUAACUUUGUAAGAACAAUAACUGUAUUUUUAUAAGUCCAAAAAUCACAAAUAAAAUAUUGAGAUAUUCAUAAAAAUUCAAAUAAUAAAACUAAAAUCAUUUCAAUAAUAAAAUGAACACAAUUAAAUUAAUAUGAUGGGAAAAUGAUCCAUAUGGUUUUAGGAAUCCAAUCUGUAAUAACGGGGUACUCCACCUUCAACUGUGGACUACAAACCACCCUAGCUUUAUCGAAUCGACCAAGUGUUUCCCAUGACCCAUAGUCCAAACAGGGGCUCAUUAGCGGGUCACCAAAGUCAGGUCGAUGAAUCAAGGGGUCGCAAUCCCAGUCUGUGGAUUACAGGUCCUCCCCUAAUGACGAGUCAAGGUCACCACGACUUGAUGUGACCACAGCUCUAUGGUGCAUAGGGGUAUCUCUCACACAGGCAUACGCUUCGCCCAAAGGUGGAUAUCUGGCUUUUCCGAACGAUCUAUCAAUAUGCAUGCCGUGUGAUGGAACAUGGAUGAGGUUUUGGCUCUCAUCUCAGUAGGCUUACCAUCACACACAAGGGUCACACAGUCCUUCGGCUCACUCAUCUAGGCAUAAACUCCGACCUCAUAAAGGGCUAACCCAAAACCCUCCUCAAUUAAGUAUUUAUGCCCAGGUACCUUGGGUUUUCCAACCGUCUGGCCUAGAUCGAUAAGCACAGUCUGGUAUAAAAAAAUAUCAUUUGCUUAGUAUAGUCCUCGAAGGACCACACUCCCACUAAGUUUAUGUUUCACUAUAAAAGUAUUUCAAUACACACUCAUAAGGCUUGAAGGGCCACAUAAACCCAACAACAUAGCGUCGGAAUGGAGCAUAGACUUGUCCUCAGGGAGUGACAUGUAAUCCAUGGACUAGGAUCGUGUCUUCUUUAUAUAUUGGCUGACUUUGAUAGUCCAGAAGCCCCUUGGAAGGGUUAUGGGCCAUGAGAACUUUUGGGUCAGUUUGAGAAGGUGCAGUGAGAUAUGAUUUAUAGAAAUAAUGGAGUCCUCAAUAUAUUUGUUAUAUUUUUAACUUUUUUGAUCCAAAUCCCAUCAAAUCUUAUUAAAUAUGUUUAGUUAUGCUUUAAUUAUAUUUUAGAUAAUUAAAAUAAAUUUUUAGACCUCUCUGGAUAUUUUAUUUUAAUGAAAAGAGAUUUUUAAGUGAAGAAAAAUCAAUUUUUUGGAUUUAUUUUAAUCAGAGAGCAAAAUAAACUAUUUAAAGGUUUUCUAAAACUCAUUUUAAUAUUUCAAAAAGUUUAUUUAGGUGUGGGGCCCCAUUGGGACAUUGGACCCACCAUUCGAACCCAUUUUGUGGCCACGUGGGGGCCACAUGGCUCUGCAUGUGUGGAGCACCACGCUCCCUCCUUUCUUUUUUGUGUGGCUCGUGUGCUAAGCCACCUUCUUAAUUGGAAAAAUAAAGGAAAAUGUUAUAUAGAUAAUUUGAUUAAUUUUAAAUAGGAAAGUGUAGAGAUUAAUUAAAAUUGAUAUGCAAGAAUAUAGUAUUUUCUCUACACUAUAAUUGAUGCGAAUAAAGUUAUGGAAACUGGGAGAUAAUGGUUCCAUCUCAUUCUUUUUAAUCAUGAUGGCUUAUCUAAAGAAUGAAUGGAUGAUAUAUCUUCACCUCAUAGGUUUCCAUGAUCAAAGGUCAAGAUUGAGUCUCAUAAUGAUGGCAAAAACCUAACCCUAAAAACCCUAGUCUCUAUACUAUAAAUACUAUCUAUGGGGGGGGUCUUUCCUCUACACCUCUUUACUAGCCUUCUCUCUCUCUCUCUCUCUCUCUCAGUCGUGGAGACGANNNNNNNNNNNNNNNNNNNNUAACGUAACGUAGUAGUACGUACUACUAAUAGUAGUAGUACGAAACCUAAACCUAAACCUAACUACUACUACUACUAUAUACUACUACUACGUGGUCGGUCGUCUACUACUCUACUACUCUCUCUCUCUCUCUCUCUCUCUCUCUCUCUCUCUCUCUCUCUCUCUCUGAACCCUUGGGAAGUCACACCUCUCUCUCUCUCUCGCGCUCUUUCUCUCUCAACUUAGCUUAGGGUUUAAUUUGUAGAAGGUAGAACCCUGAGGAGGGCACACCCAAGCCACAAGGGUGGCACAGAUUUGCUCUUGUGUUGAGCUUUGAUCAAAGUCCCAUCCCAAUGUCAUGCUUUGAAGAGGUUUCGCCUAAGCUUGUCGAGUUAUGAGAUAAGGCUAGACCGAGAUAUCGUGCGAGACCUGGUGUGAAGUGUACAAAGUCCUUGGGGGUAACCAGAGGCAAGGUAUUUGGUAAUUCUAAUUGCUCCAUAUUUCUUGAUUCUUCAUGCAUUUUAUUUUUUUAGUAUUAUAAAGAAUUGUCAUGGUAUGUAAGAGAAGAUCCUAGGUUGUAUUAGGGUAUAUUUAAUGAAUAAAGUUGUACUUUUGGACACUUGUAAGUGUUCUAAUGAAUAAAAGAAAGGGCGACUCCAAAGAGAGCUUGACAAUUUAGUGUGCCACAACAACUAUGACAAAGGAGAGGUAAACUCUUGCACUCGUGCCCAGUUUGAGCCCACUUUACAGAUGUUUGCUGGUCCUUCGAGGAUCACCAACCAUAGAGAGGGUUAUAUGUCGAAAUGAAGGUGCUAUGUUGGAAUAUCAGGGGCCUAAAUAGCGAAUCACGCAACAGAGAUGUACUUUCUGUUUGCAGAAAGGAAAGACCUGAUCUCUUGGUGAUUCAGGAAACUAAAAUGGAGGCCCCAACCUUCCACACAACUAGAUUGGUUUGAGGAAACAGAUCUUUGGAUUUUGUGGGUGUUGAUGCUUCAAGCUCCUCAAGUGGUAUAUGGAUGCUUUGGGACUCAUUGAUUUUGUCUGCUAUCCAAAAUGCUCCUAGACACAUCUCUAUUUUGUUUCAAGGGCCUUUAGGACCAUGUCUCUUGGUGUUUAUCUAUGGUGUAUGGUCCUAACAGAAUCGAUGAAAGAACUGCCUUUUUUUAUGAACUAUCUAAUAUUCAGGUUAAUUUAAAUUUACCAUGGUUUGUUUAUGGAGAUUUUAAUGCUAUUAGAUGGCCAAGUGAAUCUUCAUCUUCUCCGCCUAUUUCUCCUUGUAUGCAUACUUUUGAAAAUUUUAUUCGGCAACAUGAAUUGAUUGAUCUUCCUUCAAUUGGAGCUAACUUCACUUGGUGCAAUCAUAAUUUGCAAGAUCGAGUUUUGACAAGGUUGGAUAGGUUUCUAAUUCUGAAUUUGUUAUUCGAUUUCCAAGUAUUCGUGUGGAAGCUCUUCUUAAAAUAUCUUCAGAUCAUGUACCCUUCUACUUAAUUCUAAUGGAUUUUCAUUUGGACCUUCCCUUUUUUGAUUCAAGUUGUCUUGGCUGUCAGAGAGAUCUAUGUUCAGCUUAGUAAAAGAAUUAUGAAAAAACACAAAAAUUAAAGGUUGGAAAGGGAUUUCAAUUAUAAAAAAAUUACAACUUCUGAAACAAAACAUUAUUAUUUGGAGGAGAAACGUUUGGGGAGAUCUACAAUAAAAAAUUGGCAAAGCGAAAAAUCACAUUGGAGAGAUAGAUAAUUUGUAGUUUAUGGGAGGAUAUCUAACCCAAAAUCAAGUCAAAGAUAGAAGCUUAUUGGUGGCUUCAUACAAGCAAUUGCUUAGAUUGGAAGAGAUUCAUUGGAGGCAAAGAUCAUGUGUGAAAUGGUUGAAGGAAAGGGAUAGAAAUACGAGAUUUUUUUAUAUUAUCGCUAAUGCUAGAAAAAGAGGUACUCUCCAAAAUCUUAGAAUUGAAGGGUUAUAUUGUGGUAAUGGACUGGAUGUUGAAAAGGUUGUGGUUAACUACUUUAAGAAGGCCUUUGCGACAAAAAGUGAACUUGGCCUUUCUAUCCAAGAUCUUCCCUUUACUAAGCUACCUCUCGAACAAGCCAAGUGGUUGGAAAGGAAAUUUGAAGAACAAAAAGUCAAAGAUGCAGUAUUUGACCUUGGAAGAGAUAAAGCUCUUGGGCCAAAUGAAUAUCCUAUUGCCUUCUUUCAAAGUUUCUGGGAUACCUAGAACGAUGAUACAUUUCAAUUAUUAGAGGAGUCUUAUUCUAGAGGAAGAGUUAACGUUGCAAUGAAUUUCACAUUCAUUGCUUUAAUUCCAAAGAAAAAUGAUAAAUAUAGUCUUGACGUGACCUAUUUCUAAUAAACUAAAACCUACACCUGUCUUGAUCUUGCCUGGAUUUACAUAACUACAUUAUGCAAUUUAUCAUUACGCAAUUUACGUUAGAUAAAUUACAUAAUUUAUGUGUAAGUUGCAUUAUGUAACUUAUAUUAUAUGUCAUUGCAUAUAACGAUUAUGUGUUGGGCCCUAAUACUACGACCUUGGUGGUUAGUGCCUUGAUCUCACCCCCAGGUUGGGAUGACCUGGUGGCACGUGUCUCGGGUUUUAAUGAGAACCCGAGACUUGAGACCGCUCUCUCGAGAACUGUGCAAAGAAGACAUAGGCAGGAGUACCAAACGAUGAGAGGGGAAUUAAGGUCAUGAGGUGGGACUUACCUCACGUGGGUCUGUGACACGCUCGGGCUAGCUAGCAUGGGGCCCUCUUAGAUCAUGUCAUAAUGUUCCCCGGGCCUGUGGCCGGUUUGGAAUCGCCUCCUUUGACCUGUUUUCUCCUUUCCUACAAACACACACACACACAUCAAAGAUAUAGACGUGUGGGUCAUAGGGAACCACCUUGUUACAGGGUAAGUGCACAGAUACGUGUGUAUGCUCAAGAAAG